UGCUCUGAAAGAAAUGACUGCCUCUUAGAGAGCAGAGAGCAUUUAACAAGAGUCUGAUCUGACUUGGGGGCUGAGGAUAGACUUCCUACAGGAAGAGAUGCCAGAACUGAGAUAUGAGGGAUGAAUGAAGAGCCUGGCAAACAUGCAAGCAGAAUGAUAAUUUGACAAUGAAGAAUAUUCAAGGGAAGAGAGCACAUUUUGUGCUUAAACCCAAAGGAACUUCUUGGGCUUUUCUUCCUAUGGGCGGAAGGAAGCGGGCGUGACAAGAGAGAACAAGCAAGUGAGGAAACGGAUGGAAACAAUCAAGCCCUAGGAUCUAUCCCUGUGAGAAGUUGAUUUUAUGAAAAUUUCAAGCACACAAAGGGACAUGUGUAAUAGAUACAUUAAGUGAACAUCAAGAUAUUCACACAAGAAGCAGAGCUUCACAAAGACCACUGGAGUCUCUGGUGUGCUGCUUCCUGGGCUCAUCCCUCUCCUAGCCACAAAAAGACCCACUGUUUUUUUAUUUUAAUUAUCUAUUUUACUUUUUGUUUUUCACUGUAGCUUCACUUAUAUGUAGAUAUUUGUUGUGGGCUG